AUUGAACGCUGGCGGCAUGCCUUACACAUGCAAGUCGAACGGCAGCACGGAGCUUGCUCUGGUGGCGAGUGGCGAACGGGUGAGUAAUAUAUCGGAACGUACCCUAGAGUGGGGGAUAACGUAGCGAAAGUUACGCUAAUACCGCAUACGAUCUAAGGAUGAAAGUGGGGGAUCGCAAGACCUCAUGCUCGUGGAGCGGCCGAUAUCUGAUUAGCUAGUUGGUAGGGUAAAAGCCUACCAAGGCAUCGAUCAGUAGCUGGUCUGAGAGGACGACCAGCCACACUGGAACUGAGACACGGUCCAGACUCCUACGGGAGGCAGCAGUGGGGAAUUUUGGACAAUGGGCGAAAGCCUGAUCCAGCAAUGCCGCGUGAGUGAAGAAGGCCUUCGGGUUGUAAAGCUCUUUUGUCAGGGAAGAAACGGUGGGAGCUAAUAUCUCUUGCUAAUGACGGUACCUGAAGAAUAAGCACCGGCUAACUACGUGCCAGCAGCCGCGGUAAUACGUAGGGUGCAAGCGUUAAUCGGAAUUACUGGGCGUAAAGCGUGCGCAGGCGGUUUUGUAAGUCUGAUGUGAAAUCCCCGGGCUCAACCUGGGAAUUGCAUUGGAGACUGCAAGGCUAGAAUCUGGCAGAGGGGGGUAGAAUUCCACGUGUAGCAGUGAAAUGCGUAGAUAUGUGGAGGAACACCGAUGGCGAAGGCAGCCCCCUGGGUCAAGAUUGACGCUCAUGCACGAAAGCGUGGGGAGCAAACAGGAUUAGAUACCCUGGUAGUCCACGCCCUAAACGAUGUCUACUAGUUGUCGGGUCUUAAUUGACUUGGUAACGCAGCUAACGCGUGAAGUAGACCGCCUGGGGAGUACGGUCGCAAGAUUAAAACUCAAAGGAAUUGACGGGGACCCGCACAAGCGGUGGAUGAUGUGGAUUAAUUCGAUGCAACGCGAAAAACCUUACCUACCCUUGACAUGGCUGGAAUCCUUGAGAGAUCAGGGAGUGCUCGAAAGAGAACCAGUACACAGGUGCUGCAUGGCUGUCGUCAGCUCGUGUCGUGAGAUGUUGGGUUAAGUCCCGCAACGAGCGCAACCCUUGUCAUUAGUUGCUACGAAAGGGCACUCUAAUGAGACUGCCGGUGACAAACCGGAGGAAGGUGGGGAUGACGUCAAGUCCUCAUGGCCCUUAUGGGUAGGGCUUCACACGUCAUACAAUGGUACAUACAGAGCGCCGCCAACCCGCGAGGGGGAGCUAAUCGCAGAAAGUGUAUCGUAGUCCGGAUUGUAGUCUGCAACUCGACUGCAUGAAGUUGGAAUCGCUAGUAAUCGCGGAUCAGCAUGUCGCGGUGAAUACGUUCCCGGGUCU
rnacentral:rRNA from 1 species